rnacentral:tRNA from 1 species
GGGCCCGUGGCCUAGCAAGGAUAGGGCGCCGGAUGGGCUAGCCGGAAAAUCCGGGGUUCGAGUCCCCGCGGGCCCG